rnacentral:rRNA from 1 species
UACGAAGGGGGCUAGCGUUGUUCGGAAUUACUGGGCGUAAAGCGCACGUAGGCGGAUAUUUAAGUCAGGGGUGAAAUCCUGGAGCUCAACUCCAGAACUGCCUUUGAUACUGGGGAUCUCGAGUCCGGAAGAGGUGAGUGGAACUCCGAGUGUAGAGGUGAAAUUCGUAGAUAUUCGGAAGAACACCAGUGGCGAAGGCGGCUCACUGGUCCGGUACUGACGCUGAGGUGCGAAAGCGUGGGGAGCAAACAGG